rnacentral:rRNA from 1 species
CGUUCCAUUCCCUCCGGGUCGUCUUCUUUCUGGAACUCGAUCGACUCUUCUAGUUCGAACGACUGCUCUUCAAUCGAAGUCAGUGGUUCGAACUUGUUCUGUUGUGGUUGGACUUUUGACGGGAACCCUAACGAUUGUUCCUCCAGUCAGCUGACUCUUGACUGUUUCGACGGGACUGGCUGGUUCAGUCGUUUAACUGACUCUCCUUUUGACUUGACCUUUGGAAGGACUCGCCGGAACGGUUCUUCGACAAAGAAUACGAACUUCUUAAAACAGUUUUGAAACUUCUUCUUUGGUCGGCUGACCUCGGUUUGGAACUGGGGCAGUUAAGAGGCCACUUACUGCUUCAACGGUACCUACAGAAGGCUGACCUCAGCGCACAACGUCGACAGCACCUGAUAGAGCGUUCCGACUUCCGGCGGUGUAGAGCGUAGCUAAGCUGCGAGACCGGACUCCUCUGUGAAGUCUUACUGGAACUCAGCGACUACUGGGCGAACUUGUGCUAGGGACCAGCUCACGUUCUCACCUUCUUCAGGAGCCGAGCCACGCCACGUCUACAGCGAGACACAGACCGGGCUCAGGUGACGUUUCUACGUGCUCUCCUCUUCGACCGCCGGGAAGCCCACCGGUUAUGGUUCUUCGUGCUGAAGUCCAGG